UACGAGAACCCCAAGCGUUAUCCGGAAUCAUUGGGCGUAAAGGGUGUGUAGGUGGUCGCGUUAGUCUCCCGUCAAAUUCCCGGGCUUAACCCGGGCCUUGCGGGGGAAACGGCGCGACUCGAGUGUGCGAGAGGUGAAUGGAACUCAUGGAGUAGGGGUAAUAUCCGUUGAUAUCAUGGAGAACACCGAAAGCGAAGGCAAUUCACUGGCGCAUUACUGACACUGAGACACGAAAGCGUGGGUCGCGAAUGGG
rnacentral:rRNA from 1 species